rnacentral:SRP_RNA from 1 species
UGGCCCCCUCGCAAUGCGGCAAUGAGAACCCCGCCAGGUCCGGAAGGAAGCAACGGUAUCAAUGUUUGCGUGUGCUGAGGUCAGGCUGAUU